CCCAUGCGCCUGCACCUCCCUGCAGCUAAUAAAAAGGCUGAGUUCCCUGAUGCAGGGAAAACCCCCACCCUCUGCCGUUCACUGGGGUGAGCGAAAUGUGCAGAGGCCACACUUGUGCUAAGCUACAGCUUUUCUCACCACCUCCGCUGGCAUUCUCCCAGAACAGCGAGCUCUGUCCCAGGCCUCAGGGUGUCCCUGGGCUGAGGUGGAAUCCAGCCACGACCACCUUCCAAAGCCAACAGUCAUGGUGAACUUACAGAAAAGCAAGAGCUGGGCGCUUCCUGACACAGAGUCAAGAAAGUCUCCCGGUGAGAAGGCAUGAAUUGAUUUGGGACAAAAGGCACUUGUGGGCCCAAGAAGGCAGGAUAAAAUCAGUUCCCUCACCUGGACAAGACGAGACUCUCUGUGGGGGUGCUGGGAGCAUCAAGAAGGAUUUUAGCCUCUCCAGACUUCAGGGAAGACUUCCUGGAAGAGGUGGCACCUGAGUCAGAGUUAUCCAGAAAAGGAGAGUGGAAAAAUAUCAAGCAGUGGGAACAGCAUGAGCCAAAGCAUGGCUGCCUCUCCUCACAUGAUAUGUACAGUUGGACUCAAUGUUUUAAGGGGGGCAGGGAGCAGAGCCGAGGAGAGCCAGGGGAACCAUCAGCCAGAGGACUGUGGACAUAUUGUGACAUCUGGAUUUCCCUGAAGCUCUUGGAUCCUGUGGAGUGAGUGCCCCCAUCUCUGCACUGCUUCCCACUUCCACGGGAUCUCUGGGAAGAUUUGACACAUUUGUUAGCAGAGAAGAGCAAUUGGAAUUUCCAGCUGAAUUCCAGAUGUGGACCAGUCGUCCCAUGGGACUCCCCAGUGCUGGCCUACAUGCUCGUGCACGAUCCCCUCCUUGACUCUGGGUCUUGGGGUUGGGUUUUCUGUAGUGAGCUGGAGAGAGCCCAUGUGUGUAGUUUUCACACUUGUGGAGAGUGCUGAGGGCGGUGGGUCUGAGCUGUCAGGCUGGAGAGACCCACAGUCAUUCAAGAGGCAGCAGCCUGCCUCUGGGGCUGGGAGUGGGGGCUAUGACAGCAAAGGAAUGAAGUUGGUGAGGAGCACUCUUAGCGUGUGGACAAGGCCAGAGACCAAGGCCAGAUGUUAAGUCUGGAGCAGGCUGGGAAGGGGGAAGGAGACUCGGGGAACUAAGGGGUCAGUGUGAACCAAGGUCAUAGCUGGUGCCUGGCCAGGAGCUGGGAAGGUGGGCACAGGGGAAGGCCUCUUACCCAACCAGCACGCUCUGGUUCCUGGUGCUCAGGCCCCCAGACAAGAUUGCCAGGAUCACAUAGCUCCUCAGCAGAAGUGAGGGUCCCACUGGGAGACUGCAGGAGAAUGAAGGAUGUCACCUGCUUCUGCCAGUUUUCUGUGAUUGCCCUCAUUACCAGAAAGAAUAAUGGCCCCCACCCAAGAAGUCCACAUUCUAAUCCCCAGAACCUGUGAAUACCUGACGGGCAAAAGGACUUUGCAGAUGUGAUCAUGUUAAGGACCUUGAGAUGGGGAAAUUGUCCUGGAUUAUCUGGGAGGGCCCAAGGUAAUCACAGGGACCUUAUAGGAGAGAGGCAAGAAGGUCAAGGCAAUAGAGAAGCCAAUGUGACGGCAGGAUGGAGGAAGGGGCCACAAGCCAAGGAAUGCCAGUGGCCUCUAGAACCUGGCAAAGGCAAGAAAAUGGAUUCUCCCUAGAGCCUCCAGAAGGAACACAGCCCUGCUGAUACCUGGUCUUUAGCCCAGUGAGGCUGAUCUUGGACUCGUGACCUCCAGAAUUGUAAAAUAAUAAAUGUGUGUUG